UGGGGAAUUUUGCACAAUGGGGGAAACCCUGAUGCAGCGACGCCGCGUGAUUUAGAAGGCCUUCGGGUUGUGAAAAUCUUUUCUAUGGGAAGAAAAUGACAGUACCAUAGGAAUAAGGACCGGCUAAUUACGUGCCAGCAGCCGCGGUAAUACGUAAGGUCCGAGCGUUGUCCGGAAUCAUUGGGCGUAAAGGGUACGUAGGCGGGUAAGCAAGUUAGAAGUGAAAUCCUAUAGCUCAACUAUAGUAAGCUUUUAAAACUGCUCAUCUUGAGGUAUGGAAGGGAAAGUGGAAUUCCUAGUGUAGCGGUGAAAUGCGCAGAUAUUAGGAGGAAUACCGGUGGCGAAGGCGACUUUCUGGCCAUAACCUGACGCUGAGGUACGAAAGCGUGGGUAGCAAACAGG
rnacentral:rRNA from 1 species